CAGGCAAGUAAUUCAGAGUGAUGCCGAAUGGCUUGAAGCAAACCUUGGCCCAUUUUCCCAAUACACAACAUACUCUGACCUCAAAGUCUUCAACCUGUCUGAAGUGGCAGUUGUGGGCUCCCUCUCACCAAACCAGAAGGCUGAGCUGAUGCUGGAUCCAGACAGCGGCGCUCUCGAGGAUGUGGCCAUCGUAAGGGAGGUGUUUGCAAGCUUGACAGAGUCCCGUGAUGUGGAGCAGCUAAAUCAGUUUUUCCAGGCUUUUGCAAACAUCAGCAAGCAGAGAAACAUCACCUUCCUCAGAAAUCCAGAUGUACGAGACACCAUGUUGAACCUGACCUUGACGGCCCUUGCUCCUGAAUUUGAAGACUUUGAGCCUGAAGACUUUCAGCUGUGGUUCCAGGGCAAUUUGGCUCCUGUGAUGGCAAGC